rnacentral:rRNA from 1 species
UACGGGGGGGGCAAGCGUUGUUCGGAAUUACUGGGCGUAAAGAGCUCGUAGGCGGCUUGUCGCGUCGGCUGUGAAAACCCGCGGCUCAACUGUGGGCGGGCAGCUGAUACGGGCAGGCUGGAGUUCGGUAGGGGAGACGUGGAAUUCCUGGUGGUAGCGGUGAAAUGCGCAGAUAUCAGGAGGAACACCGGUGGCGAAGGCGGGUCUC